AUUGAACGCUGGCGGCAGGCCUAACACAUGCAAGUCGAACGAGUGGCGGACGGGUGAGUAAUGUCUGUGAAACUGCCCGAUGGGGGGGGAUAACUACUGGAAACGGUAGCUAAUACCGCAUACCAUCGGAUGUGCCCAGAUGGGAUUAGCUUGUUGGUGGGGUAAAGGCUCACCUAGGCGACGAUCCCUAGCUGGGCUGAGAGGAUGACCAGCCACACUGGAACGGGGACACGGUCCAGACUCCUACGGGAGGCAGCAGUGGGGAAUAUUGCACAAGGGGCGCAAGCCUGAUGCAGCCAUGCCGCGUGUAUGAAGAAGGCCUGCGGGUUGUAAAGUACUUUCAGCGGGGAGGCGUUACCCGCAGAAGAAGCACCGGCUAACUCCGUGCCAGCAGCCGCGGUAAUUC
rnacentral:rRNA from 1 species